GGAGCAGUAGUUAAGACGGUUAUAACGCCGGCCUGUCACGCCGGAGGCCGAGGGUUCAAGUCCCUUCUGCUCCGCCA
rnacentral:tRNA from 3 species